AUCAUGGCUCAGGAUGAACGCCGGCGGUGUGCCUAAUACAUGCAAGUCGAACGCGUUGGCCCAAUUGAUUGAUGGUGCUUGCACCUGAUUGAUUUUGGUCGCCAACGAGUGGCGGACGGGUGAGUAACACGUAGGUAACCUGCCCAGAAGCGGGGGACAACAUUUGGAAACAGAUGCUAAUACCGCAUAACAGCGUUGUUCGCAUGAACAACGCUUAAAAGAUGGCUUCUCGCUAUCACUUCUGGAUGGACCUGCGGUGCAUUAGCUUGUUGGUGGGGUAACGGCCUACCAAGGCGAUGAUGCAUAGCCGAGUUGAGAGACUGAUCGGCCACAAUGGGACUGAGACACGGCCCAUACUCCUACGGGAGGCAGCAGUAGGGAAUCUUCCACAAUGGGCGCAAGCCUGAUGGAGCAACACCGCGUGAGUGAAGAAGGGUUUCGGCUCGUAAAGCUCUGUUGUUAAAGAAGAACACGUAUGAGAGUAACUGUUCAUACGUUGACGGUAUUUAACCAGAAAGUCACGGCUAACUACGUGCCAGCAGCCGCGGUAAUACGUAGGUGGCAAGCGUUAUCCGGAUUUAUUGGGCGUAAAGAGAGUGCAGGCGGUUUUCUAAGUCUGAUGUGAAAGCCUUCGGCUUAACCGGAGAAGUGCAUCGGAAACUGGAUAACUUGAGUGCAGAAGAGGGUAGUGGAACUCCAUGUGUAGCGGUGGAAUGCGUAGAUAUAUGGAAGAACACCAGUGGCGAAGGCGGCUACCUGGUCUGCAACUGACGCUGAGACUCGAAAGCAUGGGUAGCGAACAGGAUUAGAUACCCUGGUAGUCCAUGCCGUAAACGAUGAGUGCUAGGUGUUGGAGGGUUUCCGCCCUUCAGUGCCGGAGCUAACGCAUUAAGCACUCCGCCUGGGGAGUACGACCGCAAGGUUGAAACUCAAAGGAAUUGACGGGGGCCCGCACAAGCGGUGGAGCAUGUGGUUUAAUUCGAAGCUACGCGAAGAACCUUACCAGGUCUUGACAUCUUGCGCCAACCCUAGAGAUAGGGCGUUUCCUUCGGGAACGCAAUGACAGGUGGUGCAUGGUCGUCGUCAGCUCGUGUCGUGAGAUGUUGGGUUAAGUCCCGCAACGAGCGCAACCCUUGUUACUAGUUGCCAGCAUUAAGUUGGGCACUCUAGUGAGACUGCCGGUGACAAACCGGAGGAAGGUGGGGACGACGUCAGAUCAUCAUGCCCCUUAUGACCUGGGCUACACACGUGCUACAAUGGACGGUACAACGAGUCGCGAACUCGCGAGGGCAAGCAAAUCUCUUAAAACCGUUCUCAGUUCGGACUGCAGGCUGCAACUCGCCUGCACGAAGUCGGAAUCGCUAGUAAUCGCGGAUCAGCAUGCCGCGGUGAAUACGUUCCCGGGCCUUGUACACACCGCCCGUCACACCAUGAGAGUUUGUAACACCCAAAGUCGGUGGGGUAACCUUUUAGGAGCCAGCCGCCUAAGGUGGGACAGAUGAUUAGGGUGAAGUCGUAACAAGGUAGCCGUAGGAGAACCUGCGGUUGGAUCAC
rnacentral:rRNA from 2 species